rnacentral:lncRNA from 1 species
UUGAAAUCUUGUUUUAUUACAUAUUAAUCAAAGCUCAUUUUGUGAUUUUCCCUUGUUUAAAAUAAAGGACAGUAAGUGUUCCUUAGGCUUAGUACAGCAAAGUUGUUGCACGAAUCCAUGGCUGAAAACGCAGGAAAUAGCAUUUCCGAGGUUCAAAUUUUAAAAUUUUCUCGGGGGAGCAUGCCCCCGAACCCCCAAGGUUACAGGUCAUUCAUAUACUGUACCCUCCCCCAUUUUCG